UACAGAGGGUGCAAGCGUUGUUCGGAAUUAUUGGGCGUAAAGGGCGCGUAGGCGGUGCGGUAAGUCUGUAGUGAAAUCUCUGGGCUCAACUCAGAGUCUGCUGCAGAAACUGCCGUGCUUGAGUGUGGGAGAGGUGAGUGGAAUUCCCGGUGUAGCGGUGAAAUGCGUAGAUAUCAGGAGGAACACCGGUGGUGUAGACGGCUCUCUGGACCGUAACUGACGCUGAGACACGAAAGCGUGGGUAGCAAACAGG
rnacentral:rRNA from 1 species